rnacentral:lncRNA from 1 species
ACUGAAACUACUAAAAUGUGAGCCAAAAUACACCUUUCCUCUUUUAAGUUGUGGGUGUCAGGUAUUAUAUCUCAGCGAUGAGGAGGCGACUAAGAUGUGGCCCAUCAUUAUCUAGGUUGAUCUGAGAACAAACCGCAGCACCUGAAAGCACAUGGCCAGCUGAUGGAUGUUUGGCUCUGAUGGGCCAUUUUACAAGAUGCCUUAGGAAGGCAGGGAGUUUCAUCGCGAGUCCUUCAAACUGGUGCUGAGCCACAAACCAGCCAAGAUUGUAGAAUGUGUCACAUUCAGAAAGCAUCAAGCCAAUGCCAGCCCAGGCUGUGCUUCCAGAUGAGCAAGGCCCUCCUUCUGGGUUUGGAUACUGACUGAAGUUUUGCUUUCACGGUGACUGACACCUUCAUAAGGAUUCUAUCAGAUAAAAUUCCAGGUUUUUAAUUGCCAAAAGCCCAAGACCUCAUCUCCUCACACCUUGGCCCCCGACAGAGAAAUCCAAAGCAGAAGCUCUUUUUUUUAGAAAAAAAUUGAACUGACACAUAACAAUUGCAGGCAUUUGUGGUGUGAAUCACAGUGUGAUCGUUCAAUACAUAUGUACAGUGUGUAAAGAUCAGACCAGGGAUCAAACUUGGGAACUUGCGCUUUCAAGGCAGGCAGCAGCACCACUCAGGUACCUGCUGCUCACCAAUCACCUUCACUUGAGCCAUCCCUGUUUCACUGCAGCAAUGGGAGACAGUUUCUUGGUAUAUUUUCUCAUCUGUGUGGACAGAGUGUAGGAUAUUCUGGGUCCCAACACCACCAGAGGCCCUGGCCCCAGCCAUAGUAGGCUGCAGAUGCAGGUAGGUUGUCUCUCAGAGGGACCCUCAACAAACAGGCAAUGUGAACUGGAAGAGAAAUUCUCGGGCCUGUGUAUUUCAGUUGGACAACUCUAGGGCUCCAUAUGUUGUUCACCACUGUAUUGGAAGAGAACUCCAGUGACCCAGUGCCUAGUAGGCAGAAAACGGCCCCCCAAAGAUGCCCAUGUCCUAACCCCAGAACCUGUGAAUAUGUUCUUUCCUGGCAAAGGAAAUCUUUCAAAUGUGAUUGAAUUCCAAACCUUGACUUGGGGAGCUUAUUCGGGGUUAUCAAUGUGGGCCCAGUCUACUCACAUGGGUCCUUCAAAACAGAGACUUUCUCUCAGAUGUGGACAGAAAGACCCAUGAUAACAGAAAAAGGGUCUGAUGGAUGUAAUAUUGUUGGCUUUGAAGAUGGAAGAAGGGACACAAGCCAAGGAAUGCAAGUAUCUUCUAGAAACUGGGAAAGAGAAAGAAAGGAUCCUUUCCCCUUUAGGAUCUUGAUUUCGGCUCAGUGAGACCUACCUUGGACUUCUGACCUACAGAACUGAAAGGUGCUAAUUUUGUCAAUGUUGUGUUAAGUUGCUACAUUUAUUUUCAUUUGUUACAGCAGCAAAUGAUUAAUUAAUAUGCUCAAGGGUACUGGUACUAAAUAUGCACUUACAUUGGCUUUUUCCCCUUCCCUAUCUCUCUCCACUCUCUAACUCCUACUUUCCAGUAUUACAUUUGCCUACACCCAAGUCCUAUCCUCAGGUGCUGUUUAAAAGAGUACCCAAGCUCAAAUCAUGGAUAGGCUUUCUACUGACCUUUGAGGGUCUCUGGUUUUCCCACCCCCAUACUUCACCUUCAAUGAUCCUGGAAUUCAUUCAGGGAGCCACAAAGAUCCUUAAAACUCCAAGCUUCUAGGCAAAUUUACAAGUUAGUUUAAAAACCUAUACCUUUUUCAAGUGAAUAAUUAAUGUUAUAUUUGGAUUCCAGUCAUUUAAAAACUGUGAUCAUUUUACAUGACAUAUUUUAUUGAUUUAUUAUUAUUUCUCAAUAAACAUUGUCACCGUGAUGUGUAUGUUUUGGAAGGAACUCGAAGCCUGAAGAAACAUUAUUUCCAACUACAAUAUUUUAACUGAGCUCACCUCUUUUGAAAUUGCCUGAUGAUAAAACUGAUACUGUUAAGAAAUAUUAGUCAUCCCUGGCAUUAGGGAGAACAUUAUCCUCAGAAGUAUUCAGCACCGGGAUCUUCAUGAGUCCAACAAAGGGCAUGUCUAUGACAACUGUUUGAUUAUUUACCUUCCUCCCAUCUUCAAAUUUCAGCCCACAUGCAGGAGUUAGGUAGUGAGUCACAAGGCAGCAUGGAUUCUGAGAUGUGGCAGCUGAUCUGGUGGCAGACACCAUGCAAGAGUCUUAUACUACCUAACAGGCUCCGGUCCCCUCCAAGCUUCUUUGUGACACAGUUUUUCAAUACUACUAUUGCCC